GCUCGACUCCCGGCAACGGACGGCCGCCGCCGCCGCGACGGCGAGACCCGUGUCCCCGGCGUUGCGGCCACCUCCGAGCGACGGAUGGUGCGCACUGCGCACCAGGUUCUCAGCUUGAACGCGGCCGGCCAUGAGCUUGAUGGCGCCCCAAGUUUGACCGCGGGAAAUGGCAGCAGAGCGGUGGAGGAGCAGAACGAACAGCGGCGAUCGGAGUUGGCGCUCGGCGGUCAUGCCGGAAUCGUAGUGGUGUUGGCGGCGGCGUUGAGACUGGGGAGCAAUGGGUUGGUGCUGAGUUGCCGGGAGUUUGGAGGUGAGUUUCCUGAAGAGAUCCAGGGCAGAGAUUCUUGAAGCUAAAACACCCUGUUAUGUCAUCAUGGGCGCUGUGCUGCUGUACUGGCAAGAUGAAUACGUAUUCUUAUGUGUUCAUGCUACCUUAAUACUGUGCCAUUCCUUUCCAGCGGUAGGGCUUCAUUGGGCCAUUCAGGUCUCAUGUACAUUUUUCCUCCAGUUUUAGUGGUGAGGUGGUUAGCUGCUCAGCUCAGUUCAUCAGAGCACCCUAUGUGGCCUGGGAGAGUGUGAUUUGUGGUCUG